GGCAUGGAAAAGUGUUAGGACCAUUGUUGACGGGUGCUUUGCUAAGUUUAAGAUCGUUCCAGACGAGGCUACAAGAGGCUUCAUCUCAUCAAUUGGGAUUCUGACCAAAAACACUGAAGUUCUUUUUGCUGACUUCCCGGAUCAAUGGGACAACUCCAGGAAAGGAGCAUUCCUCAUGGAAUCUGCGCACAUACCAACAUUGUGUCCAGUACGUUCAAUGCUAAGGAUUCAGGUCUGAGGUGGCCACUUGGACAAGACGGAGAAACUCCGUGGGUGUUGCAACAGCUAAUUUAUCGUGGUCAAAAAUUCUCUCAGUACAAUAAGGAUUUUCCGUAUGACUACGUGAAGCUCUGCAGAAACACCUAUAAGCAUUUCGAUGAGUUGCCAAAAUACAUCAAGAACAAGCUUGGAGGGGAUAAAGAUGGACUUUUAAAUCAGAUGGAGAAAUGGACACCGGGCAUAUGGCGCAUCCUAUAUGUAGCAGUCCAUAAGAAUAAGAAAUGAUGUGUGGGUAGUAGCUGAUUAUGGAACGUACGUGCAUCAGUAAAACAGACAUAGACUUGGAGCUUAUUGGAUAGCACUGCUUAUGGUCAUUGAUUCCCAUACCUUUUGUUGGACUUGGAGCUUAUUACUUAGCACUUGCUUGUGUUUUAUUGGCUGGUGACCCUGCCCAGUUUGACGCAACAAAAUUGCUAAUGCGCAGUUUUGGUAAAGCAGUUGAUCGUGCAACUGUGCACUGUAUUGGGAUAUCAUAUACUGUAUGUAACUGGGCCUCCUGGGCUCCUGACCAGUACAAGUUUGAUUCGU